GUCCUAGCUGUAAACGAUGGAUACUAGAUAUUGUGUAUUUUAGAUAUACAGUGUCGUAGCUAACGCGUUAAGUAUCCCGCCUGGGGAGUAUGCUCGCAAGGGUGAAACUCAAAGGAAUUGACGGGGGCCCGCACAAGCGGUGGAGCAUGUGGUUUAAUUCGAUGCAACACGAAGAACCUUACCAGGACUUGACAUGGAGAGAAGUUUUCAGAAAGGAAAAUGUGCUACGGCCUCUUACACAGAUGGUGCAUGGCUGUCGU
rnacentral:rRNA from 1 species